UACGUAGGGUGCAAGCGUUAAUCGGAAUUACUGGGCGUAAAGAGUUCGUAGGCGGUCCGUUAAGUUCGGCAAGAAAGACCGGGGCUCAACCCCGCGUUCGUGCCGGAUACUGGCGGACUCGAAUCCGGGAGAGGUUGGCAGAAUGGUACGAGUAGGGGUGCAAUCCGUUGAUACGUACCGGAAUACCGAAAGCGAAGGCAGCCAACUGGAACGGCAUUGACGCUGAGGAACGAAAGCGUGGGGAGCGAAAAGG
rnacentral:rRNA from 1 species